rnacentral:misc_RNA from 1 species
UCCGGCUUAUCACCGGCAGUCCUAUUAGAGUGCCCGGCCGAACCGCUGGCAACUAAUAGCGAGGGUUGCGCUCGUUGCGGGACUUAACCCAACAUCUCACGACACGAGCUGACGACAGCCAUGCAGCAUCUGUCUCUAGGUCCAUUGCUGGAAGGAAUCCAUCUCUGGAAGCCGUCCUAGGAUGUCAAGGGCUGGUAAGGUUCUUCGCGUUGCUUCGAAUUAAACCACAUACUCCACCGCUUGUGCGGGCCCCCGUCAAUUCCUUUGAGUUUCAACCUUGCGGUCGUACUCCCCAGGUGGCUCACUUAACGGUUUCCCUUGGACGCACAAUGUCAAGCAUCAUACGUCGAGUGAGCAUCGUUUAGGGCGUGGACUAC